UACGUAGGGUGCAAGCGUUAAUCGGAAUUACUGGGCGUAAAGGGCGCGUAGGCGGCCUGUUAAGUCGAACGUGAAAUCCCCGGGCUCAACCCGGGAACUGCGUCCGAUACUGGCAGGCUUGAAUCCGGGAGAGGGAUGCGGAAUUCCAGGUGUAGCGGUGAAAUGCGUAGAUAUCUGGAGGAACACCGGUGGCGAAGGCGGUCUGCUGGGCAGUUGCUGACGCUGAUGCGCGACAGCGUGGGGAGCAAACAGG
rnacentral:rRNA from 1 species